AACAUCUCAAAUCUCUCGACUUUCGAGUUUGAGAGAAUUGGACUUGAGCAAUCCCAACUCCUUCGUCAGAAAGAGGAGGGUUGCUUGAAAUGCAGGUGCAGCUGGGCAUUCUUCUGAGCUAAAAGCAUAUUUAUUUAGUCCCGUCAAACGGAUUAUUAUUCUUGCUUCAGCUUACAUAAAGGUUGAAUGACUACCGAGGCUGAUUGCAGGUAAACUCGUUCCGUUAAAAAGAACUUGUGA
rnacentral:misc_RNA from 1 species